rnacentral:rRNA from 1 species
UGGCUCAUUAAAUCAGUUAUCGUUCAUUUGAUAGUACCUUACUACUUGGAUAACCGUGGUAAUUCUAGAGCUAAUACAUGCUAAAAAUCCCGACUCACGGAGGGAUGUAUUUAUUAGAUUAAAAACCAAUGCCCUUCGGGGCUUCCUGGUGAUUCAUAAUAACUUCACGAAUCGCAUGGCCUUGUGCCGGCGAUGGUUCAUUCAAAUUUCUGCCCUAUCAACUUUCGAUGGCAGGGUCUUGGCCUGCCAUGGUUACAACGGGUAACGGAGGGUUAGGGCUCGACCCCGGAGAAGGAGCCUGAGAAACGGCUACUACAUCCAAGGAAGGCAGCAGGCGCGCAAAUUACCCAAUCCCGAUGCGGGGAGGUAGUGACAAUAAAUACUGAUACAGGGCUCUUUCGGGUCUUGUAAUUGGAAUGAGUACAAUUUAAAUCCCUUAACGAGGAACAAUUGGAGGGCAAGUCUGGUGCCAGCAGCCGCGGUAAUUCCAGCUCCAAUAGCGUAUAUUAAAGUUGUUGCAGUUAAAAAGCUCGUAGUUGAACCUUGGGCCUGGCUGGCCGGUCCGCCUCACCGCGUGCACUGGUUCGGCCGGGCCUUUCCCUCUGGGGAAUCGCAUGCCCUUCACUGGGUGUGUCGAGGAACCAGGACUUUUACUGUGAAAAAAUUAGAGUGUUCAAAGCAGGCCUAUGCUCGAAUACAUUAGCAUGGAAUAAUAGAAUAGGACGUGUGGUUCUAUUUUGUUGGUUUCUAGGACCACCGUAAUGAUUAAUAGGGACAGUCGGGGGCAUCAGUAUUCAAUUGUCAGAGGUGAAAUUCUUGGAUUUAUUGAAGACUAACUACUGCGAAAGCAUUUGCCAAGGAUGUUUUCAUUAAUCAGGAACGAAAGUUAGGGGAUCGAAGACGAUCAGAUACCGUCGUAGUCUUAACCAUAAACUAUGCCGACUAGGGAUCGGACGAUGUUAUUUUUUGACUCGUUCGGCACCUUACGAGAAAUCA